rnacentral:tRNA from 1 species
GGGGCUGUAGCUCAGUGGCAGAGUGCUUGUCUUGCACAUAUGAGGUACUAAGUUUGAUCCUUAGCACCACCU